rnacentral:rRNA from 1 species
CACGUAGGGUGCGAGCGUUGUCCGGAAUUAUUGGGCGUAAAGAGCUCGUAGGCGGUGUGUCGCGUCGGCCGUGAAAACCUGCAGCUUAACUGUGGGCUUGCGGUCGAUACGGGCAUCACUGGAGUUCGGCAGGGGAGACUGGAAUUCCUGGUGUAGCGGUGAAAUGCGCAGAUAUCGAGAGGAACACCUGCGGCGAAGGCGGGUUGCUGGGCUGACACUGACGCUGAGGCGCGAAAGCCAGGGGAGCGAACGGG